GCUGUGAAAAACAUGUGACUGUUUGUUGAUAUUUGUAACUUCAGUUCAACCAAAAGGAGUGACUUUAGCUAGAUCUAGUAGAAUACUUACUGAUCAAUCUUUCCUUUAGGAAGUGAACUCAUGGGAAGUAAAAGUACUUUACUAUGAAACAUCUUGGGGAGAAAUGUGUCAAUUGUCGCCUGCUAGACUUCUUUUGCACAUAAGUCAAGAUCUGCUGCAAGCAGAAGAAAAAUGCAUACUUUCUGCUAAGACUAGGGACUGAUUUCCACCAUCAGAGCACGUCUCUGAUACCAGAAUGAGAGCAACUGUGUCCAGCUCCCCUCUUUAAAGCCAACCAAACACAAUAAGAAAAAUGAGUAUCAGAAAACUCCAUCUAAGAAACUAAGGCACAAAGAACUUCAAAGUACAAGGUUGGAGAAAAUCACCAGCUAUCAAAUUCAAUGAAAAACCAUAUGUGUGUGUGCGUGUGUCUGUGUGCGCAUGCCAAAGAAAAGAGGGGCUUUCUACCCAGAUAUAGACAUGAAUUUGGGAGAAAAUCAGGUAUGAAGUCAACAAGCAGAGUUUGCAGCAGGGCAGGACUCUAAGUAUGAUCAACUUCACCGAAUCUCCUGAUACAAAGAAUCGUGCUGUGUACAGACGAAAGCUUACUUUUCAUGACAUGAAGGAUCCUGUGAUUUGAGGAAGUGUCUUCCUUUUCUGAUUCACAAUCCUAGUAUCAGCCCGGAUCAGAAUCAGCAUAAGUGAACAUACGCUCUGGCACGAAGAGAAAAAUCUCAUGAGCUGGCAUGAUGGGAAAAUGAGACAGUUACCGCUUUGCCAUUGUUUGCUGAUGGAUAAAAUAACACACCCCAUUCCUGGCUUUAUCCCCACCCUAUUAUAAGGAUUCCUGACAGCAUGGGAUGUCCAAACCGGCCUUCAAUUUCCCCUGCUUGCCCCCCUGACCCUUAUCUGGCCCUCAGUAUCCCAGACUUCCCCCCCGUAAGGGAAGUCCACUCCUGAGCUUGUGGAGUUACCCACACCCCACUGGUGGUGGAUAUGCCAUGGGAAUUGCAAAAAUGUCAUAUAGAUGUAAGAAGUGGGCAUGGUGGGGGUCAGCAAACUAUGGCCUAUGGAGCAAAUCCUGCCUGCUGCCUGUUUUCGUAAAUAAAGCUUUAUUGGAACACAGCCAUGCCCAUCUGCUUGCAUAUUGUAAAGUGCUUUUGAGCUACAAAGACAGAACUAAGCAGUUGUGACAGAGUCCGUGUGGCCUGCAAAGCUAAACAUAUUCAUUACCUGGUUCUUUAUAAGAAACAUUGAUGGCCUUGGCCAGUAUAGAGAUAGCUAAGUUAUUUGUCUCGGUGUUGUGCUAACACUUUAACAGAAC